CAGAAUAUUUCAUAUAAUAGAAUAAAAAAGAAAUAGUGAGUGGAUGACGUCAUCAGUCUCCUCAUCUGCAUACCGACCAGGAUGUGCAUAUAACUGUUUUGUGAAAUUAAGCGAAAGUCUAAAAUGUCAUAACUUUCUUAUUUUACUUCAGAUUUUGAUGAAAUUUUCAGUGUUAUGCUUGUUAGAUUUUUCUCUUUUUAUUCAAAUCAUCUUUUUGUUGGGGUGGACUUGUCCUUUAAAGAAAUAAGCAGUUCAAGGGCUUUAUUUAUAGAUUUAAAUGCAAACUUGAUUUUGUGCACUAAAAUCUGUAUAAUACUAUAAUUAAUUAAAAUGAAAUGAAGCAUAUUGAUUAAAUGAGAUUGAGCUUUGAAAGCCCAUAGUCUAUAGAUUAUUUCAUUAAUACAUUGUGCAAAUUCUUCUCACCCCUAUAGAUUGACAAGACUCAAAAGUAUGUAUGUAUAUGUACAUGAGGAAUGAACUUAUAAAAUGUCAACUUACUUUUUUGCAUUCAAUUUAAAUGAUUUAGAGUAAUUUGGGGGAAAAUAUGAACUUUUCUAUUGGAAAUUCAGUAACAAAAAUUGUAGUGAUAUCUUACUUACUCCAAAAAUGUAUUUAAAACAUCAAGAGCUUAAACUGUACUGUAUUAGGGUAUAGUUUAAUUGAUUUACAGAAAAUUUCAUCGUUCGUUGGAAAAAAAAAACGUUUUAAAACGAUUUAAAACAAUAAAAAACUUUUUUUUCGUUAACGUUUUUAUUACAACCCUGACUGAAAAACAAAUAUCAAGUGUUCUUAAAAGUGAUUUAUUUAACUUUUCUUUGGUUUAUAAAUACUGAAUAAUGAAAACAAUUGAAGCAAAAAAAUUGUCAUAAUAGAAAAAUAUGAAAAAAAUAUAAUCAAAAGAAAUACAUAAGAAAUUCAUGAAACCAUGAAAAACAAGUUUUUUUUGUUGAAAUGGCUAAUUUCCUUUUCAGUCAUAUCAAAUAUAUCAAUAGAAUAUUUUAAAAGAAAAAAGCUCUUUUGUUAUUUCCAUAUUUUAAUUUGUGAAAUUAUGGGGAAAAUUGUGUACGUUCUCUAUGGAGACAAUGGCCCGAAUUCACAAAGGUGGUUUUUGCAGAAACCAUGGUUUCAACCGUGGGUUUUGCUGAUUUUGCGAUUCACAAAGGUGAUUUCAAAUGAAACCAUGGUUUCAACCGUGGGUUUUUGGCAUGAUUUUGAGUCAACUGUUUUAGGUGGUUUCAAACCGUGGGUUUUAGAAAAACCAUGGUUUUUAGGCACAUUAACCAAUCACAGAACAGUAUUUCGGUACAUUGCUGAGCAAGUGGAGAUAGACGACGAUAAAUAGAUUUGUACGAAAAGAAAAGAAGCUAGAAGCGAAGCGUGUAAUAUCGGUAUUUGCCGAGCUGUGAGUAAUUGACCAUUUUACAGCAACGAUGAAUAUUUUUUCUACGUCUGUGUGUAUUUUUUUGUGAAGAAAUAUUAUAAUUGAUGCUGUAAAUGCAUGCAGACUUAGGAGCGGAACGGUGGACUCGUGAUGGGAAAAGCAUUAUCGCACGCAAGUUAUUUUCUAGUCCCACGCGUGUAGUUUUGUGUCCUGUCAAAACAAAAGAUUAUGAAGAGCUCUCCGUACCGAAUCGCUAAGCUCCCUGGCCUGGGUUCAAUAGCUCGGCUCAUAAAGCUGAGCUCUGGAGAAGCGAUGCAUGACAAAGCCGCCAAAUUGUGCAAAAUUCAAGAAAAUUUUAUUCUUAAUUUAUACCUUAGGCUUACUAGUUUGAUAUGAUUUUUUAAAUUAAACUAAAGUAACUGCACAAUUAUCCAAACAGCAUCACUUAUUAUUAUUAAUGGGCAUGUUGCCUGUUGUUGCCUUGUUGGGUCAAUUUAGUGUCUAGUGAAUGGGAAAACACUUCCUAACUGUGUCUAGUGAUUGUUAAUUGCUUGUAGAUCCUGUCUCCAAUAAUAGUGUUCAAAAUUCACUUAUUCAGAUCCAACUGGAGAAAUGUUGGAACUAGAUCUAGCCUCGAGGACGAGGACUCUGUGAUAUUUUUAUAAUUUUGAGUUGACAGUGUCUUCAUGGAGCCAGAGCCCAAGUUGUUAGACAUGCGCUAGGCUAGGGCAGGCCUGCGUAGGGCUGUGUCAGUGUGUGUCGAAGAAGUUGGUAAAAUUGUCAAUGAUGGAAUCCCCUUCAAUAUCCACAUCACUGCCAAUAAUUGGUUAGAUACACUGAAUUGAAUUAAUUUAAAUUUCAUACCUUUUUAUUACCUAAGCUUAUAAAAGGAAUAACAAACAUUUUAUAGGGCCUAAAUAAUGAAAACAUAAAAAAUUCAUGAAAUUAGAGGUUUCUUACCAGACCGAUCUAGUGGCCAUUGCAAAAUCUUCCCAUCCCUUGCUCACCCUGCGUAAUACAAUAGGCUUGACUCGGUUUGUUUAUAAUGAUGUAGCUACAAUACGAUGAGCUACGUUAUGAAGCGCCAUUCUAUAGAACAAUUCAUUGAAUAAAUUAUUUAAAAAAAUGAUAAUAUGAAUUAACAUUUUGGUUGGAAAUACUAUCGUUUAAUCUGGCAGAUUUGAGAGAUGUUGAAUUAUAUUAUGUCCAUCAGAUUUAAAAGUAAUUUAAUGUAGAUCUACCUGUACUUUGUUUAUUUCCGCAGUAAAUUGUUGAAUGGAUGAAAACAUCUUACAACAUGCACAGGCUGUCCUAAGAUACUAUGAAAGGAGGAUUGUUAGAGAGUCUAACUCAACAGGAAUAUGCCAACCAGAACUGCAGUUAGGAGUCAUUGGCAGGAGGAACCUUUGUGACUUGUACGAAGAUGAAGCUUUCAAGCACAGAAUUGCUUUUCCAAAGAGACCACACGCUACCUCAUCAUCAUGAUUUAAGGUGAUCUGAGCCUGAGGAGGGACGAAGGGCCUAGUGAUAGACUACCUUUGUUUCUGCAAGUAUUGACAAUUCUGCGUUUGUAUGCUGAUAAUUUCAGGGAAUACAGGGUGGUGAGGCAUCAGUGUUGCAAUCAUCUGUUUGUUGAGUGAUCAGAUGUUUCGCAAGCCAUAGCCAGAAGAAAGGUUUUGUGAGAACUUGAGAUUGAGGCUACCCAACAACAACUGUUUGAGUACCAGUACAGUACUACAGGAAUUCAAGAGUCAUAGGUGUGUUCGAUGGGACCCAUGUCUACAUAUCCUGGAGGGAAACAAGCUUUGUACUUUCUUGAUGGGCAAGUCCAUGCAACAAAAAGUUUAUUUUGAUAUAAUAGAGAAAACUCCAAUGAGCAUAACACUGAAAGUUUUAUCAAAAUUUGAUGUAAAAUGAGAAAGUUCUGACAUCUUGAAGUUUCGCUUAUUUUCACAAAACAGAUAUAUGCACAUCCUGGUCAUUAUGCAAAUGAGUGACCAAGUGACGUUCUCCACUCACUGUUUCUUUUUUGUAAUAUAUCAUGAAAUAUGAUUUUUUUUUUUUCUCAUAAUGGCUAAUACAGGUGUAUGGUUUGAUUUCUCCCUGAAACUUGUGUAAAAAGACAAUGUGGCAACCUAUACUCAAUUGUGAAUUCUGUAAAAAAUCAAGUAUUAUAAUAUAUUUCAUAUAUUGAUAUACAGAAGAAAGAGUGAGUGUGUGACGUCAUAGACUUGUUUGCAUAUCACCUGUUUUGUGCAUAUAAGUGAUUUUUGCGAGUACCGGUAAUUAAUUUCUUAUUUUACAUCCUAUUUUGACGUUUUCAGUGUCAUGCAUGUUUUAUUUUUCUCUAUCCAUUCACAUUAACUUUUUGUUGUACAGUGGACUUGCUCUAGAACAGGUAUUUUCUGUAAUGUACAAGUAAGAAUUUAAUUAUUGAUUUGUGUCUUCUUUUUAACACCUUCUUUACAGAGGGGGGGGGGGGGGUUGAAUCAACCUCCCUUGAGAUCUCUGCCAAUGAUCGCAUUAACGCCUUGAAAAUUGGUAUGAUAAUAGUGGGGGAUGUCAUGUGCAAUGCUGUUUGGUUAAUUUUUCCGAAAUCGUCAGAUCUUUUAUAUUAAUUAAUUAUGCUAAUUUCUGCAUAAAUCUUACUUUUAUACCAUUGCUAACAAUCAAAAUGAAAAAAAAAAAUCCUAGAUUGAAAAUGAAUUUCUUAUGUAUUUUAUUGUUUUAUGAAUUUCUUAUGUAUAUCUUUUUUUUCAAGAUUUUGUUUUUUGCCAAAUUUAAAGCAGAACAUUUUUUGAAGCAUAAUUAUGCUGAAAUCAAGUAAUUUCAGCUGAUGAAAGUAAAAAUAAUCAUGUCCAUAUGAAGAAGAUGAGAAAACUCAAUAUUGACUUUGUACACAAAAUCACAUUUUGGAGCAAUUUUGGGUCUGACAUGCACUUAUGUAAUGUUGAGUAAUUUUCCAACAGCAUGCCCAGGCAUUGUAAAUUUGAUCUCAAGAGAUGUGCAAGACUUCAAAGUAAAAAGUCGGCGAGCAGCAUGGUCGUUAAAUUUCGCACAGCGGAAUGGUUGUGGAAUAUGUUGAGGGAGGGGGUUCAUUCACCCCCCCCCGGGUUUUAGGGUUAACCCUAAAUCUCCCGGGGUAUUUUGAUUCUUGUCAUUCCGGGGGGGGGGCAUUAUGGCCCCCCUUAAGACCUCAGUCGCGGAUUGCGCGAUCAAAACAAAAAUUUGCAUGAUGGUAGAGAAUGACGUAAUCUACGCAGUUGCAUUGGUAAAUUUCACUGAAUUCAUAUAUUUUUAUUUUAUACGAAUUAAUUAUGCUAAUUUAUUCAUGAAAUCAUACUUUUUGCUCCGAUUCACUAAAUAAAGCUCCUAGAAUGCUAUUUUUUGGUGAAAAUAUUCUUUAUAGCAUUCCUAACAAUUGUGAAUGAAAAAAAUUCUGGUACCAAGACCGAUUACUUAUGUAUUUUAUUGUUUUUUAAUUUCUUAUGUAUUUCUUUGUUUUUUACUUUUUCGAUGGAAAUCGUUCCAGACUUAAUUCUGAUCAUAAACAAGGCAAAAUUAAUUAAGUUUAAUCAGUAAAAGUAGAAAUAAUGAUGCAUUUAUGAAUUUUGGCUAAUACAUAAUCUGCAUUGGAUUCGUACAUGAAAUCACGUUUAUGAGCAAUUUGGGGUCUGACAUGCACUUACAUAAUGUUGCGUAAUGUCGUAACCGCGUAUCCGGGCGUCACAAAUUUGGUCUCAAAAUUUGCGCGAGACUUGAAAGUAAAAAGUCAGUGAGCGGCGAGGUCAAAAAAUUUUGCGCAGCAGAUAUAUCGCAAAAAUUGUCAAGGGGGGAGCCAUUAUGCCCCCCCCCCCGGGAGAAUGAGGGUUAAAAGAGCACAUUAUUACUAAGAAUUUCACAUGAAUACAAGUAUUUGAAAUUAACUUUUAUCAGAUUUAGUUUCUUUCACAGACUACAUGUAUCUUCAAUGAUUUUUUUAAUUCAAAUAGUCCUUACUAAAAAAACCACUAUUUAAUCAGGAAGCAUCAAAUGUAAGUUCCUCAUUUACUUUUUCAUGUGAAAUAUUUUCACAUAUUUUAAAUUGUCUAUUUCAAAUGCUUAAGAUUAGAACUUUGAUAGCUCACAGAAAGUUUAUUGCAUGCCCUAAAAUAUGCAUGUGUCCAUGAGGGUCAUCAAUUCAAAUUGCUCUCAUUUCUUUGUUUUUGCAUCAGUUGUGUUUACACUUGUUACAGAUAACCAUUGGGGAUUAAAUACCAUAUGCAUGUCCAGGAGGAUAAUAAGGUCAAAAGAUCAUAUUGCAUACACUGUAGUUUGAUUGUGAUAUCAGGCGAGAUUGAUGGUUAACCUUGUUUUUUGUUGAAAUGUAUUCUUUUCAAGUGUCCCCAGGGCAACAGCCCAGCUGGGGCAACCAGGUAGCCUUAUGAAUAGAGCUCAACUCGGGCAACCAGGAAAACACUAGCUUGGCCUGGCAGUGCUGGCACAUGCACAUUUAGGGGGCGUGAAUGAGACAAAUUAAAAGGGCAAUUAAUGCAUUUUCUUGGAAAAAAAUAUAAUUUCAAUUGACCCCAAAGGAUAACCUGAUCAUGGCCUAGUUGGGGAAACCAGGUAGCCUAACAAGUAGAGCUCGAAUCAGGCAACCAGAAAAACACCAGCUAAUAAUUAACAAUAAUUAUUCAUUUGGGCCAUUAUGAUGUGGCAAUAUAUCAAAACUUGGACUAAGUAUUUAUUUCACAAAUGUUUGUAAUUUUGCAAUGUUUUCAAAAUGCCAAUUGAGUAUUAGAUUUUCAGUGUGUUAUAUUUUUAUGUAAUUUCCUGGUGUGAUUUUCCAAGGUGCAAGGUGGUUUUAUGCAAAUUAAAGAUAUAC